rnacentral:rRNA from 1 species
GGUGAUUAAUACCGGAUAGGACCACUUCAUGCAUGUGAUGGUGGUGGAAAGUUUUUUCGGCGCAGGAUGUGCUCGCGGCCUAUCAGCUUGUUGGUGAGGUAAUGGCUCACCAAGGCUUUGACGGGUAACCGGCCUGAGAGGGUGACCGGUCACACUGGGACUGAGACACGGCCCAGACUCCUACGGGAGGCAGCAGUGGGGAAUAUUGGACAAUGGGCGGAAGCCUGAUCCAGCAACGCCGCGUGAGGGAUGACGGCCUUCGGGUUGUAAACCUCUUUCAGUACCGACGAAGCGAAAGUGACGGUAGGUACAGAAGAAGGACCGGCCAACUACGUGCCAGCAGCCGCGGUAAUACGUAGGGUCCGAGCGUUGUCCGGAAUUAUUGGGCGUAAAGGGCUCGUAGGCGGUUUGUCGCGUCGGGAGUGAAAACACCGGGCUUAACUCGGUGCUUGCUUUCGAUACGGGCAGACUAGAGGUAUGCAGGGGAGAAUGGAAUUCCUGGUGUAGCGGUGAAAUGCGCAGAUAUCAGGAGGAACACCGGUGGC